UUGGCCGUAAACAAAUUAAAUUUACCAGAGUACUAUGAACUAAAAAGUUUAAAACUCAAAGAGCUUGGCGGUGUUUUAGACCUCUCAGGGGAACCUGUCUCAUAAUCGACAAUCCACGCUAUACCUAGCCUUAUUUCGCUUUUACAGUUUGUAUACCGUCGUCGUCAGGUAACUUUUAAAAAUUUAGAAGUUAGCGAAAAAGCUAUAUAAGCUUACACGUCAGAUCAAGGUGCAGCUCAUAUUAAGGUGAGGAUGGGUUACAAUUAUAAAAUCAUAACUACGAAGUAAUUGUAAUAAUAUAUAAUUAUAAGGAGGACUUGAAAGUAAACUAGACUAUAAAAACAUUUUGAAUAAGGCUCUGAAACGUGC
rnacentral:rRNA from 1 species